rnacentral:lncRNA from 1 species
AAAGAUUAUGAGACUUAAAGGGGCGGGAAACAAGAAGUAAAGCAUGAGAAAUAACUGCUGCUAUAACUGCUGCUAACAGAUACUGAGGCAUGGGCAAUAUCAAGAAUGGGGUAAAUCAGUUAGUGGUUAAAGCUGUUAGAUAUCAGUUUUGAAUUCUUGUAAACAUCCAGCAUAUAAAGAUGUAAUGUUGAUUUGAGAAGGGAAAUGAAAAAUUCA